UUAGAACAUGGAUAGCCUCCACUGGUCCUUCCACUAUUGAAACUUCCACUUACUUGAAGUCUCACCAUUACCUGUCCAUUGCUCUACCAGAAAUCCCAAGAAAGCAGUAACUCCUCUCAUCUCUCUAUUAGAAAUGGAGAUUAUGGGUGUGGAAAAAUGUGACUUUCUGGAGUCCUCAACAGAACAACAAGUUAAGAUGCAGGAAUGUUAUACAGAGCAAACUUCGGAGUGUCCAGCACAGUAAAUAAGAGGUCCUACCUUCAUGGGGUCGCUAGGCAACAUGCAUGCCAGCAAGCACCACUGUGAAGGUUUACCUGCAGCAUCGGGUAGAUUGCCUCAAUGGGAAGCCGCGGUUAAAUUCCACUGAGGCUGCACUUUGAAGAAGCAUAAUAAAUUUGUGGUAGUGCUGUCUCCCCUGCGAGGAAUACGCC
rnacentral:lncRNA from 1 species